UGAUUCUCAGUCCUCUUCUGAUUCCUCUGAUUCUGAAAGUGCUUCUGAAGAGAAAUCAAAGAAAAGAAAAAAGAAACAUCGGAAAAAUUCCCGAAAACACAAGAAAGAAAAGAAGAAGCGAAAGAAAAGCAAGAAGAGUUGGUUUGUCAGAGGAAUAGAAGAUUUUUCCCAUGCGAUCACAUCUUUGUGCAUCUAGUGAGAGUGAAGCUGAAAAUCUUGAAGCACAACCCCAGUCUACUGUCCGUCCAGAAGAGAUCCCUCCUAUACCUGAAAAUAGAUUCCUAAUGAGAAAAAGUCCUCCUAAAGCUGAUGAGAAGGAAAGGAAAAACAGAGAGAGAGAAAGAGAAAGAGAGUGUAAUCCACCUAACUCCCAGCCUGCUUCGUACCAGAGACGACUUUUAGUUACUAGAUCUGGCAGGAAAAUUAAAGGAAGAGGACCAAGGCGUUAUCGAACUCCUUCCAGAUCCAGAUCAAGGGAUCGUUUCAGACGUAGUGAGACUCCUCCACAUUGGAGGCAAGAGAUGCAGAGAGCUCAAAGAAUGAGGGUAUCAAGUGGUGAAAGAUGGAUCAAGGGGGAUAAGAGUGAGUUGAAUGAAAUAAAAGAAAAUCAGAGAAGUCCAGUUAGAGUAAAAGAGAGAAAAAUAACAGAUCACAGGAAUGUAUCUGAGAGUCCAAACAGAAAAAAUGAAAAGGAGAAGAAAGUUAAAGACCAUAAAUCUAACAGCAAAGAGAGAGACAUCAGAAGAAAUUCAGAAAAAGAUGAUAAAUAUAAAAACAAAGUGAAGAAAAGGGCCAAAUCUAAAAGUAGGAGUAAGAGCAAAGAGAAAUCAAAGAGUAAAGAAAGAGAUUCAAAACAUAAUAGAAAUGAAGAAAAGAGGAUGAGGUCAAGGAGUAAAGGACGGGAUCAUGAGAAUGUUAAAGAAAAAGAAAAGCAGUCUGAUUCUAAAGGAAAAGAUCAGGAAAGGAGUAGAAGUAAAGAGAA
rnacentral:sRNA from 1 species